UACGAAGGGGGCUAGCGUUGCUCGGAAUCACUGGGCGUAAAGGGUGCGUAGGCGGGUCUUUAAGUCAGGGGUGAAAUCCUGGAGCUCAACUCCAGAACUGCCUUUGAUACUGAAGAUCUUGAGUUCGGGAGAGGUGAGUGGAACUGCGAGUGUAGAGGUGAAAUUCGUAGAUAUUCGGAAGAACACCAGUGGCGAAGGCGGCUCACUGACCGGUAUUGACGCUGAGGUGCGAAAGCGUGGGGAGCAAACAGG
rnacentral:rRNA from 1 species